UAGAAUUCUCCUUUAGCUAUUUCCCAUUCUAUUUCACAGAAGGCAUUCUCCAAGUCAAUUGUAAAACUUUUCAAACUCUACUAACUACCUUCCUUGCCCCAGUCACAUAUACUCAUGAAGUAGUAGUAGAUCUUUAAUGACCAACAUACAUCUUCUUCUCCUUCACAAUAUAAUGUUUGCUAAUAAAA